rnacentral:rRNA from 1 species
UUGCACGCUGGCGGCAGGCCUAACACCUGCAAGUCGAACGGUAACAGGAAGAAGCUUGCUUCUUUGCUGACGAGUGGCGGACGGGUGAGUAAUGUCUGGGAAACUGCCUGAUGGAGGGGGAUAACUACUGGAAACGGUAGCUAAUACCGCAUAACGUCGCAAGACCAAAGAGGGGGACCUUCGGGCCUCUUGCCAUCGGAUGUGCCCAGAUGGGAUUAGCUAGUAGGUGGGGUAACGGCUCACCUAGGCGACGAUCCCUAGCUGGUCUGAGAGGAUGACCAGCCACACUGGAACUGAGACACGGUCCAGACUCCUACGGGAGGCAGCAGUGGGGAAUAUUGCACAAUGGGCGCAAGCCUGAUGCAGCCAUGCCGCGUGUAUGAAGAAGGCCUUCGGGUUGUAAAGUACUUUCAGCGGGGAGGAAGGGAGUAAAGUUAAUACCUUUACUCAUUGACGUUACCCGCAGAAGAAGCACCGGCUAACUCCGUG